UAGCUAGUUGGUGAGGUAAAGGCUUACCAAGGCGACGAUCUGUAUCGGGUCUGAGAGGAUGAUCCGCCACACUGGAACUGAGACACGGUCCAGACUCCUACGGGAGGCAGCAGUGGGGAAUUUUGGACAAUGGGGGCAACCCUGAUCCAGCCAUGCCGCGUGAGUGAAGAAGGCCUUCGGGUUGUAAAGCUCUUUCGGCCGGGAAGAAAUCGCAUGGGCCAAUACCCUGUGUGGAUGACGGUACCGGAAUAAGAAGCACCGGCUAACUACGUGCCAGCAGCCGCGGUAAUACGUAGGGUGCGAGCGUUAAUCGGAAUUACUGGGCGUAAAGCGUGCGCAGGCGGUUUUGUAAGACAGGCGUGAAAUCCCCGGGCUUAACCUGGGAACUGCGUUUGUGACUGCAAGGCUAGAGUACGGCAGAGGGGGGUGGAAUUCCACGUGUAGCAGUGAAAUGCGUAGAGAUGUGGAGGAACACCAAUGGCGAAGGCAGCCCCCUGGGUCGAUACUGACGCUCAUGCACGAAAGCGUGGGUAGCAAACAGGAUUAGAUACCCUGGUAGUCCACGCCCUAAACUAUGUCAACUAGGUGUUGGGUGGGUAAAACCAUUUAGUACCGUAGCUAACGCGUGAAGUUGACCGCCUGGGGAGUACGGCCGCAAGGUUAAAACUCAAAGGAAUUGACGGGGACCCGCACAAGCGGUGGAUGAUGUGGAUUAAUUCGAUGCAACGCGAAAAACCUUACCUACCCUUGACAUGCCAGGAACUUGCCAGAGAUGGCUUGGUGCCCGAAAGGGAGCCUGGACACAGGUGCUGCAUGGCUGUCGUCAGCUCGUGUCGUGAGAUGUUGGGUUAAGUCCCGCAACGAGCGCAACCCUUGUCGUUAAUUGCCAUCAUUUAGUUGGGCACUUUAACGAGACUGCCGGUGACAAACCGGAGGAAGGUGGGGAUGACGUCAAGUCCUCAUGGCCCUUAUGGGUAGGGCUUCACACGUCAUACAAUGGUCGGUACAAAGGGUUGCCAAGCCGCGAGGCGGAGCCAAUCCCAGAAAGCCGAUCGUAGUCCGGAUUGCAGGCUGCAACUCGCCUGCAUGAAGUCGGAAUCGCUAGUAAUCGUGGAUCAGCAUGUCACGGUGAAUACGUUCCCGGGUCUUGUACACACCGCCCGUCACACCAUGGGAGCGGGUUCCGCCAGAAGUAGGUAGCCUAACCGCAAGGGGGGCGCUUACCACGGCGGGGUUCGUGACUGGGGUGAAGUCGGAACAAGGUAGCCGUAGGGGAACCUGCGGCUG
rnacentral:rRNA from 1 species